rnacentral:rRNA from 1 species
AUGUGGCUUGCUGUUCAUCGCAGGUGCUUGACCGCAGAUAAUUUGGAGAGGAGGGGCUGGCCUUCUAAUGGCAACUGUCCGUUGUGCAUCUCGACGCACGAAGACUGCACACAUCUUUUUGUGCAUUGUCGGUUCACUCAGCAGGUUUGGAGGAGGUUCAGGGACUGGACGAGAGUGUUUUUUCUUGUUCCAGAUGACAGUUAUGCUAAUACUGAGGAUUGGUGGCUGAGAACACGGAAGGAUGUCCCCAAGUCUGAUAGGCGCAAUUUUGACACCAUUAUCAUUCUUAUCCACUGGAGGAUCUGGAAAGAAAGAAAUGCGAGAAUUUUUGAGCAUGUGGCCUGCAGCGUUGAAAGGGUGCUGGAUUCGAUCAGAGAAGAUAUCAGGGCCUGGAGAGCAGCAGGUUGUAUCGGUGACCUUUUUUGA